rnacentral:rRNA from 1 species
CCCUUAGAUGUCCUGGGCCGCACGCGCGCUACACUGAACGGAUCAGCGCGUUUUCCCUUCCCGAGAGGGACGGGUAACCUGCUGAACCCCGUUCGUGGUAGGGAUCGGGGCUUGCAAUUAUUCCCCGUGAACCAGGAAUGCCCAGUAAGUGCAAGUCAUAAGCUUGCGUUGAUUACGUCCCUGCCCUUUGUACACACCGCCCGUCGCUACUACCGAUUGAACGUUUUAGUGAGGUACUCGGACUGAGCCUCAGAAGAUUCACGUCUUUUGUGCUGCUCGGGAAGAUUCCCAAACUUGAGCGUUUAGAGGAAGUAAAAGUCGCAACA